rnacentral:rRNA from 1 species
GCUUAACACAUGCAAGUCGAGGGGCAGCGGGGAGGAAGCUUGCUUUCUCCGCCGGCGACCGGCGCACGGGUGAGUAACACGUAUGCAACCUGCCCCUGUCAGGGGGACAACCCGCCGAAAGGCGGGCUAAACCCGCGUACAUGCCACCGGGGCAUCCCGGAGGCAGGAAAGGCUUCGGCCGGACAGGGAUGGGCAUGCGGCGCAUUAGGCAGUAGGCGGGGUAACGGCCCACCUAACCGACGAUGCGUAGGGGUUCUGAGAGGAAGGUCCCCCACACUGGUACUGAGACACGGACCAGACUCCUACGGGAGGCAGCAGUGAGGAAUAUUGGUCAAUGGUCGGGAGACUGAACCAGCCAAGCCGCGUGAGGGAUGAAGGUACAGAGUAUCGUAAACCUCUUUUGUCAGGGAACAAAGGCGGGGACGUGUCCCCGGAUGAGUGUACCUGAAGAAAAAGCAUCGGCUAACUCCGUGCCAGCAGCCGCGGUAAUACGGAGGAUGCGAGCGUUAUCCGGAUUUAUUGGGUUUAAAGGGUGCGCAGGCGGUCUGUUAAGUCAGCGGUCAAAGCCCGGGGCUCAACCCCGGCCCGCCGUUGAAACUGGCAGUCUCGAGUUGGAGAGAAGUAUGCGGAAUGCGCGGUGUAGCGGUGAAAUGCAUAGAUAUCGCGCAGAACUCCGAUUGCGAAGGCAGCAUGCCGGCUCCACACUGACGCUGAGGCACGAAAGCGUGGGUAUCGAACAGGAUUAGAUACCCUGGUAGUCCACGCAGUAAACGAUGAAUGCUGGCUGUUCCGGGGGGACUGACCCCUGGGUGGCGAAGCGAAAGCGAUAAGCAUUCCACCUGGGGAGUACGCCGGCAACGGUGAAACUCAAAGGAAUUGACGGGGGCCCGCACAAGCGGAGGAACAUGUGGUUUAAUUCGAUGAUACGCGAGGAACCUUAUCCGGGCUCAAACGGGGAGUGACUCAGGCAGAGACGCCUGUUUCCCACGGGACACUCCCCGAGGUGCUGCAUGGUUGUCGUCAGCUCGUGCCGUGAGGUGUCGGCUUAAGUGCCAUAACGAGCGCAACCCCCGCGUGCAGUUGCUAACAGUCAACGCUGAGGACUCUGCACGGACUGCCGGCGCAAGCCGCGAGGAAGGCGGGGAUGACGUCAAAUCAGCACGGCCCUUACGUCCGGGGCGACACACGUGUUACAAUGGGUGGUACAGCGGGAAGCCAGGCGGCGACGCCGAGCGGAACCCGAAAUCCACUCUCAGUUCGGAUCGGAGUCUGCAACCCGACUCCGUGAAGCUGGAUUCGCUAGUAAUCGCGCAUCAGCCAUGGCGCGGUGAAUACGUUCCCGGGUCUUGUACACACCGCCCGUCAAGCCAUGGGAGCCGAGGGCGCUUGAAGU